CCCUCCACUCACGUGGCGGGCUAUUUCAUUGCGUCGCUACGCGACU
rnacentral:sRNA from 21 species